rnacentral:rRNA from 1 species
GACGAACGCUGGCGGCGUGCCUAAUACAUGCAAGUGGGACGCAAGGAAACACACUGUGCUUGCACACCGUGUUUUCUUGAGUCGCGAACGGGUGAGUAACGCGUAGGUAACCUGCCUAUUAGCGGGGGAUAACUAUUGGAAACGAUAGCUAAUACCGCAUAAUAUUAAUUAUUGCAUGAUAAUUGAUUGAAAGAUGCAAGCGCAUCACUAGUAGAUGGACCUGCGUUGUAUUAGCUAGUUGGUAAGGUAAGAGCUUACCAAGGCGACGAUACAUAGCCGACCUGAGAGGGUGAUCGGCCACACUGGGACUGAGACACGGCCCAGACUCCUACGGGAGGCAGCAGUAGGGAAUCUUCGGCAAUGGACGAAAGUCUGACCGAGCAACGCCGCGUGAGUGAAGAAGGUUUUCGGAUCGUAAAGCUCUGUUGUAAGUCAAGAACGUGUGUGAGAGUGGAAAGUUCACACAGUGACGGAGCUACCAGAAGGC